rnacentral:hammerhead_ribozyme from 1 species
AUCCAGAUGACGAGUCCCAAAUAGGACGAAAUGCACAUUUUACAU